AUUGAACGCUGGCGGCAGGCCUAACACAUGCAAGUCGAGCGGAUGAAGGGAGCUUGCUCCUGGAUUCAGCGGCGGACGGGUGAGUAAUGCCUAGGAAUCUGCCUGGUAGUGGGGGAUAACGUCCGGAAACGGGCGCUAAUACCGCAUACGUCCUGAGGGAGAAAGUGGGGGAUCUUCGGACCUCACGCUAUCAGAUGAGCCUAGGUCGGAUUAGCUAGUUGGUGGGGUAAAGGCCUACCAAGGCGACGAUCCGUAACUGGUCUGAGAGGAUGAUCAGUCACCCUGGAACUGCGACACGGUCCAGACUCCUACGGGAGGCAGCAGUGGGGAAUAUUGGACAAUGGGCGAAAGCCUGAUCCAGCCAUGCCGCGUGUGUGAAGAAGGUCUUCGGAUUGUAAAGCACUUUAAGUUGGGAGGAAGGGCAGUAAGUUAAUACCUUGCUGUUUUGACGUUACCAACAGAAUAAGCACCGGCUAACUUCGUG
rnacentral:rRNA from 1 species